rnacentral:misc_RNA from 1 species
GAUGAAGAACUCAGCGAAAUGCGAUAAGUAGUGUGAAUUGCAGAAUUCAGUGAAUCAUCGAAUCUUUGAACGCACAUUGCGCCCCUUGGUAUUCCAUGGGGCAUGCCUGUUCGAGCGUCAUUUGUACCUUCAAGCCUUGCUUGGUGUUGGGUGUUUGUCUCGCCUCUGCGCGCAGACUCGCCUCAAAACAAUUGGCAGCCGGCGUAUUGAUUUCGGAGCGCAGUACAUCUCGCGCUUUGCACUCAGAACGACGACGUCCAAAAGUACAUUUUUACACUCUUGACCUCGGAUCAGGUAGGGAUACCCGCUGAACUUAAGCAUAUCAAUAAGCGGAGGA